AGCAGAAUUGAAGACACAGACGGCAAAGGCGACGACGACGGCGACGACGAUGGCAUCGACUGUGCGGCAUCGAUUGUGUCGUUCGCAGAUCACAUACCACGGUGCGGCGACACAGACGAAGACGAACACAGAGCACAAAAAGGGCAAACUGAGAAAUCAAAAAAAUUUAUGCAAAAAACUCGCACACUAACGCAGAACAACACUCGCACACAAAUGCAUUGAGUGAUUUUGAUUACGAGGAAUGAAUAGGCGGCGCACUAAUACAAGCAUCGAACACUAUGAAAUUGCAGUAACAACGUGAAUGGGAAUGGAACACAACAAUAGCAGCGGGAGCAGCAAGAGCAAAUAAACUUCCAAAAAAAAAGAGAAGUGGAACGAACAACGUGAAGAACUAAAUUGUAAAUCGAAAUUCCAAGAAGUGCGGUCUGAGAUUUGGUCGGAGGUUUGUUUUUUAAACGUCUGACGUCGACGGCGGCAUUAAAAAAGUGUGCAAAAAGCGUUUGAGAUACUUUUACGCGCGCGCGCGAAAGCUAACGAGUGCGAGGGGUGUACCGGGCUAUGAUUGUAUGUACGUGUCACACAUACAUAUGUACGUGUGAGUGUGUGGGUCUUUAGUGUGCGCGGCGUUUAGGACUUUUGCAUACAAAAGAGGCGGAGAGAAGACGUGCAAUUAGUGUGCAAUAAAACGGAGAUAGAAGAAUUUGAUGGAUAGGCCCAAUUAUACCAAUGUUUACGUUUAACAGAGAUUUUACUGUAUGUUGUGAUUGAGCUCCACAUUGGCAUCCAAAAAGCUAUUGCAAAUUUGAAUUGGAGAUUGACAAAGGUGUUGACAGGCUUUUGGCAUUGAAGGUAUUUGAACUUUGCAGAGAAUUUCGAGUGAAGCGAGGCCAUGGGAGUCCCAAAAAGUAGGGGAAAUCUGAGAAUGUACAUAAGAAGCAGCGUAACAUAGAAAAAUGCUGAUCAGAAAGAAUGUUCGUCUGUGGGCACAUACACACACAUACACGUACACACGUGCGCAGGACAAACAGUUAGAAAAGGAUAGGUGCGCGGGGAAUGACCCUCGGUCCCGUUUCAAUUCCCAUACACAAUCCUGUUCCUUUCGGGGCUCUGUCUGUACAUAUGUUCAAUCAGCUGAUCGUGCGUAGCCCGAAGGACAUGCACAUAACAGAGUAGAGAAUUAGUCCUGCUGUUCUGUGGUAUGUGUGUGACACGAGCAGAAGGAGAGGCACGGGGAACGAGCACAACGCGCGCGCAAAAUUCCUUAACACGAGCCCAACAACAACAACAGCAGCAGCUCUGUGUGUUGUGUGCUCAGAGCGUGCGUGUGUGUGUGCCAACGUAAGACGUAGCAGGGGGGGAGCAGAGAUUUCUUGCAGUCGCCGAUGUGCAUUGGCCAGGCAGAUCGACGAAAGAAGUAGGUGAAGAGCGCAUGAGCGCUCGGAAUAGGUGCACAAAGAGGAAACGCGUUUUGAUUUUUGCGCCAAAAUCGUUGCCGCUGUAUAUGUGUCAAUGUGAGAGGCCUGUGCCAGUGUAUGUGUGUGUGCAGGACUCGUCUGAUGGGUAGAGUUGCCGUUUAAAAGGCACAAAUGGCUAAAUAAUUUCAGUUAAUAGCUUUUAGAGUACAACUUAUUUGCCGAC